rnacentral:rRNA from 1 species
UACGUAGGUGGCAAGCGUUGUCCGGAUUUAUUGGGUUUAAAGGGUGCGUAGGCGGUUCCAUAAGUCAGUGGUGAAAUACGGCAGCUCAACUGUCGAGGUGCCAUUGAUACUGCGGAACUUGAGUACUGAUGAGGUAGGCGGAAUUGACGGUGUAGCGGUGAAAUGCGUAGAGAUCGGAAAGAACACCAACGGCGAAAGCACUCCGCUGGGCCGACACUGACACUGAGAGACGAAAGCUAGGGGAGCGAAUGGG